rnacentral:rRNA from 1 species
UGGGGAAUAUUGGACAAUGGGCGCAAGCCUGAUCCAGCAAUGCCGCGUGUGUGAAGAAGGCCUUCGGGUUGUAAAGCACUUUUAUCAGGAGCGAAACGCUGUCGGCUAAUACCCGGCGGAACUGACGGUACCUGAGGAAUAAGCACCGGCUAACUUCGUGCCAGCAGCCGCGGUAAUACGAAGGGUGCAAGCGUUAAUCGGAAUUACUGGGCGUAAAGCGUGCGUAGGCGGUUUCUUAAGUCUGCUGUGAAAUCCCCGGGCUCAACCUGGGAAUGGCAGUGGAUACUGGGAGGCUAGAGUGUGUCAGAGGGUGGUGGAAUUCCCGGUGUAGCGGUGAAAUGCGUAGAGAUCGGGAGGAACAUCAGUGGCGAAGGCGGCCACCUGGGACAACACUGACGCUGAGGCACGAAAGCGUGGGGGAGCAAACAGGAUUAGGAUACCCUGGUAGUCCACGCCCUAAAGCGAUGCGAACUGGAUGUUGGUCUCAACUCGGAGAUCAGUGUCGAAGCUAACGCGUUAAGUUCGCCGCCU